rnacentral:lncRNA from 1 species
UAGAUACUUCACUGUCUGGACCAGGCAGAUACUUCACUGCCUAGACCAGGCAGAUACUUCACUGCCUAGACCAGGUGGAUACUUCACUGCCUAGAACAGGUAGAUACUUCACUGUCUGGACCAGGUAGAUACUUCACUGUCUAGACCAGGCGGAUACUUCACUUUCUAGACCAGGCAGAUACUUCACUGCCUAGACCAGGUAGAUACUUCACUGCCUAGACCAGGUAGAUACUUCACUGUCUGGACCAGGUAGAUACUUCACUGUCUGGACCAGGUAGAUACUUCACUGUCUAGACCAGGCGGAUACUUCACUGUCUAGACCAGGCGGAUACUUCACUGUCUAGACCAGGCGGAUACUUCACUGUCUAGACCAGGCGGAUACUUCACUGUCUAGACCAGGCGGAU